rnacentral:rRNA from 1 species
GAUGUGGAGGAACACCGAUGGCGAAGGCAGCCCCCUGGGAUGACACUGACGCUCAUGUACGAAAGCGUGGGUAGCAAACAGGAUUAGAUACCCUGGUAGUCCACGCCCUAAACGAUGUCAACUGGUUGUUGGGGGAGUGAAAUCCCUUAGUAACGAAGCUAACGCGUGAAGUUGACCGCCUGGGGAGUACGGUCGCAAGAUUAAAACUCAAAGGAAUUGACGGGGACCCGCACAAGCGGUGGAUGAUGUGGAUUAAUUCGAUGCAACGCGAAAAACCUUACCUACCCUUGACAUGUCCGGAAUCCUGCGGAGAUGCGGGAGUGCUCGAAAGAGAACCGGAACACAGGUGCUGCAUGGCUGUCGUCAGCUCGUGUCGUGAGAUGUUGGGUUGAGUCCCGCAACGAGCGCAACCCUUAUCAUUAGUUGCUACGCAAGGGCACUCUAAUGAGACUGCCGGUGACAAACCGGAGGAAGGUGGGGAUGACGUCAAGUCCUCAUGGCCCUUAUGGGUAGGGCUUCACACGUCAUACAAUGGUCGGUACAGAGGGUUGCCAAGCCGCGAGGUGGAGCCAAUCCCAGAAAGCCGAUCGUAGUCCGGAUUGUUCUCUGCAACUCGAGAGCAUGAAGUCGGAAUCGCUAGUAAUCGCGGAUCGGCAUGUCGCGGUGAAUACGUUCCCGGGUCUUGUACACACCGCCCGUCACACCAUGGGAGUGGAAUCUGGCAGAAGUAGGUAGCCUAACCGCAAGGAGGACGCUUACCACGCUGGGUUUCAUGACUGGGGUGAAGUCGUAACAAGGUA